CAGUCGCCACGGGAAUACGAAGGGGGCUAGCGUUGCUCGGAAUGACUGGGCGUAAAGGGCGCGUAGGCGGCGGCCAAAGUCAGGCGUGAAAUUCCCGGGCUCAACCUGGGGGCUGCGUUUGAUACUGUCGAUCUGGAGCAUGGAAGAGGUGAGUGGAAUUCCGAGUGUAGAGGUGAAAUUCGUAGAUAUUCGGAGGAACACCAGUGGCGAAGGCGGCUCACUGGUCCAUUACCGACGCUGAGGUGCGAAAGCGUGGGGAGCAAACAGGAUUAGAUACCCGCGUAGUCCCUGUCUCUUAUAC
rnacentral:rRNA from 1 species